UACGUAGGGUCCAAGCGUUGUCCGGAUUUAUUGGGCGUAAAGAGCUCGUAGGCGGCUUAGUAAGUCGGAUGUGAAAACUCGGGGCUCAACCCCGAGACGCCAUCCGAUACUGCUGUGACUUGAGUCUGGUAGGGGAACACGGAAUUCCUGGUGUAGCGGUGAAAUGCGCAGAUAUCAGGAGGAACACCGGUGGCGAAGGCGGAUCUCUGGGCCUUACCUGACGCUGAGGAGCGAAAGCAUGGGGAGCAAACAGG
rnacentral:rRNA from 1 species